rnacentral:rRNA from 1 species
CUGAUGAGCAUGCCGCGUGAGUGUAUGAAGGCCUUCAGGGUUGUGAAAGCUCUUUUACCAGGGAUGAUAAUGACAGUACCUGGAGAAUAAGCUCCGGCUAACUCCGUGCCAGCAGCCGCGGUAAU